AACGCGAAGAACCUUACCUACUCUUGCAUCCUAGGAACGGUGUAGAAAUUAUACCGGUGCCUUCGGGAACCUAGAGACAGGUGCUGCAUGGCUGUCGUCAGCUCGUGUCGUGAGAUGUUGGGUUAAGUCCCGUAACGAGCGCAACCCUUAUCCUUAGUUACCAACGAGUAGUGUCGGGGACUCUAGGGAGACUGCUGGUGAUAAACCGGAGGAAGGUGGGGACGAUGUCAAGUCAUCAUGGCCCUUACGAGUAGGGCUACACACGUGCUACAAUGGGUGGUACAAAGGGAAGCGAAACUGUGAAGUCAAGCAAAUCUCAUAAAGCCAUUCGUAGUCCGGAUUGGAGUCUGCAACUCGACUCCAUGAAGCUGGAAUCGCUAGUAAUCGUGGAUCAGAACGCCACGGUGAAUACGUUCCCGGGCCUUGUACACACCGUACGUC
rnacentral:rRNA from 1 species